UACGUAGGGUGCAAGCGUUGUCCGGAAUUAUUGGGCGUAAAGCGCGCGUAGGCGGCCGCUUAAGUCGGAUGUGAAAGCCCCUGGCUCAACUGGGGAAGUGCACCCGAAACUGAGUGGCUUGAGUACUAAAGAGGGUCGCGGAAUUCCCGGUGUAGAGGUGAAAUUCGUAGAUAUCGAGAGGAACAUCCUGCGGCGAAAGGCGGGUAGCUGGGCCGACACUGACGCUGAUGCGCGAAAGCCAGGGGAGCGAACGGG
rnacentral:rRNA from 1 species